rnacentral:rRNA from 1 species
CCUACGGGUGACUGCAGUGAGGAAUAUUGGUCAAUGGCCGGAAGGCUGAACCAGCCAUGCCGCGUGAAGGUCAGUGCCCUAUGGGCGUUAAACUUCUUUUGUGCGGGAGCAAUAAUGGUCACGUGUGGCCAGACGAGAGUACCGUACGAAUAAGCAUCGGCUAACUACGUGCCAGCAGCCGCGGUAAUACGGGGGAUGCAAGCGUUAUCCGGAUGUAUUGGGUUUAAGGGGUGCGUAGGCUGUGAGGUAAGUCAGCGGUGAAAUGCCCCCGCUCAACGGGGUGAAGUGCCAUUGAUACUGCCUGGCUGGAAUGCGGAUGCCGUGGGAGGAAUGUGUGGUGUAGCGGUGAAAUGCAUAGAUAUCACACAGAACACCGAUUGCGAAGGCAUCUCACGAAUCCGCGAUUGACGCUGAUGCACGAAAGCGUGGGUAUCAAACAGGAUUAGAUACCCGGGUAGUC